UACGGAGGGGGCUAGCGUUGUUCGGAAUUACUGGGCGUAAAGCGCGCGUAGGCGGCUUUGUAAGUUAGAGGUGAAAGCCCGAAGCUCAACUUCGGAAUUGCCUUUAAGACUGCAUCGCUAGAAUUGUGGAGAGGUAAGUGGAAUUCCGAGUGUAGAGGUGAAAUUCGUAGAUAUUCGGAAGAACACCAGUGGCGAAGGCGACUUACUGGACACAUAUUGACGCUGAGGUGCGAAAGCGUGGGGAGCAAAC
rnacentral:rRNA from 1 species